rnacentral:rRNA from 1 species
GGGCCCGCACAAGCGGUGGAGUAUGUGGUUUAAUUCGAAGCAACGCGCAGAACCUUACCAGCCUUUGACAUCCUGGUCGCGGAUUAGAGAGAUCUUUUCCUUCAGUUCGGCUGGACCAGUGACAGGUGCUGCAUGGCUGUCGUCAGCUCGUGUCGUGAGAUGUUGGGUUAAGUCCCGCAACGAGCGCAACCCUCAUCCUUAGUUGCCAUCAUUUAGUUGGGCACUUUAAGGAAACUGCCGGUGAUAAGCCGGAGGAAGGUGGGGAUGACGUCAAGUCCUCAUGGCCCUUACAGGCUGGGCUACACACGUGCUACAAUGGUCGGUACAGAGGGAAGCUACCCCGCAAGGGGAUGCGGAUCUAUAAAACCGAUCUCAGUUCGGAUCGGGGUCUGCAACUCGACCCCGUGAAGCUGGAAUCGCUAGUAAUCGGAUAUC